rnacentral:lncRNA from 1 species
AAAAUUAUCUAAUAAGUCUCAUUAAGUUAUAAAAACAAACACCUCUAAUUAACUUAAUUAAUUAAGUUAAAACACUUUAAGUUAUUAAAUUAAAAAAAAAACGUGACCUUAGUUUAUUCUUUUAUUCUCUAAGUUUUUCUCUAUAGAGAAAACCUCGUCAGAGAGCAAAUAGUAAUGGGUGGUUAUUUUAAACCAUUUCAUGGUAUCCUUACCAGGUGUUUCAGCCCAUUUAAGAAUAAUUUGGCCCAAUUAUCAGGCCCAGCCCUUAUUGCAUGAAAGUGUUAAAAAGUAACAUAGGAAAUUGUACACAAAUCAAAGAGGGCAGCAAGAAACAAUUCCGCAAGCCGACGGCAAGUAGUCUAGGCCAACUCAAGCAAGGAUUCCAUGUCAGUUGUCACAGGCACAAACACACUAGUCGACGAGCAUAAGCAAACACCACAAAUUAUCACAACAAUUGGUGCCAUCGUUAAGAGUCUGAAAUUUUUUCUCAACCAAAGGUGAUGACAAAGAAGGAAGCCAAUCAUCAAGCAAGAAUGAAGCAAAUUGUCAAAUUAAAAGAAAGCCAAGGCAAACUAUGGUAAAAGGAAGCAAAGCCAAUAAAUCAAAUUUAGGAAAGAAGCCAAGCAGCACCACAAGCCAAAUGUCACCAAAGCAUUGACCUGUCGAGCUGUGGAUAAGAAGCAACUCCAACGACUUCAAGCUGUUUUUGAGAUUAAGGACCCUUUUGGGUUUGAUUUCCAGCACACUUGGACUGUCACAACUCAGCUGUUAAGGUGUUUAAUAAAAUCUAUUGGAAUAUAGCUCCACGGAUCAACUGGUGGUUUUUUCUUUUUUAUUUCAUAAUUUUUGUAAUAAUUGUUGAGUAUAAAAAUUAAUGAAAAAUUUAUUAUUUACCAUAAUCUAUAAACUUCAAUAAAUUAAACUUUUAUCCGACAACAGCAAUAAACUAAAAUCCAUAGUAUUUCUGUACCAAAGAACUUAAAAAUAAAAGUCUAGCUUAUAUUGUACAAACAAGCUGCAUAGAUUUAUGUGACAACAAUGUGAAACUCUCUAAAAUUGACCCCCCCCCCCUCGGGCAUCCUAUUUGAUAACCAAAUCAUUUAAUAAGCAAAUAAAGAUCCAUAUGUUAUCCCAUUUUUUUUGGCUAUCUUCGUUUUUUGAAAGGUUAUUUUUUAUUUACUCCCAAAAUAUUCCUUUCAAAAUGGUCAUGCUGCUCCCAAUCCGUUAGAAUAUCUUGUUAACUGCAAUAUUUAACUGCCGUUGAAUAAACAAUACUUUUUCUUCCCCUUCAAUAUUAAAAAAAAUUUAAUUUUAAUUUAGCCCUAAAACGUAAAGGGUUUUUUAAUCUAAAAAGUAAAAUGGGAUUAAAAUGAAUGUAAUCCAAAUUGAUAUAAAACAUAGUCUAAAAGAAUAAAAUAUCAGAAUAUAAAUUUAGA